rnacentral:misc_RNA from 1 species
AGGUGUCUCUAACAACUCUGACUCCGGCAAAAUUAGUGUUUUCCCAGUUCCUUCUGCAAGUUGACUCGAGACCUUGUUUUUGCCUAACUUGCUAUCUUCUUCCAAAUGUGUUUCAUUUGUAGUGGAGGACAAGCACCUGCUCUGGACCUUCAGAGUGUUACUGCCAGCACAUGCAUCAUCUGAAGGUGCCUCUGACUUGGGUGAAAUUGGUGCCUUUCCAGUUCCUUCUGAUCCUAAACUACUAACUAAAGCUGAAUUACAUGAUAUAUUCCUCCUGUCUACAUUCUUGUUAUGAUCACUUACUGCUAAACUCACAUCAUUAGAUCUACUAACACAUGAAAUGUUGUCAUCAUGCCCUUCUACAACUUUGGGAUACUCAUUCUUAUUU